AGAGUUUGAUCAUGGCUCAGAAUGAACGUUGGCGGCGUGGAUUAGGCAUGCAAGUCGAACGUCGAACGGGCAACCUAGUAGGCGUGGCGAAAGGGGCAGUAACGCGUAGGCAACCUACCUCCGGGUCCGGGAUAACCGGUGGAAACACCGAGCAAUACUGGACGCCAUCCCGUAGCGGCAUCGCCGCGGGAUGAAAGAAUUUCGCCCGGGGAGGGGCUUAUGUCCUAUCAGCUAGUUGGUGAGGUAACGGCUCACCAAGGCGUCGACGGGUAGGGGGUGUGAGAGCACGACCCCCGCCACUGGCACUGAGACACUGGCCAGACUCCUACGGGAGGCUGCAGUCGAGAAUCUUCGGCAAUGGGCGAAAGCCUGACCGAGCAACGCCGCGUGGUGGAUGAAGGCCUUCGGGUUGUAAACACCUGUUGGGGGGGAACAACACUGAGUGAACCCCUGAGGAAGCACGGGCUAAGUUCGUGCCAGCCGCCGCGGUAAUUC
rnacentral:rRNA from 1 species